rnacentral:tRNA from 1 species
GCCGGAGUCGCCUAGUGGUAUGGCGCAGGCCUGGAGAGCCUGUGAGCCCUUUGGGCUCGCGUGGGUUCGAAUCCCACCUCCGGCGCCA